GAUGAACGCUAGCGGCAGGCCUAACACAUGCAAGUCGAGGGAGAAGCCCUUCGGGGCAGAAACCGGCGCACGGGUGCGUAACGCGUAUGCAACCUACCUUUCACAGGGGGAUAGCCCGAAGAAAUUUGGAUUAAUACCCCAUAAUAUUAUUGGAUGGCAUCAUUUGAUAAUUAAAAUUACGAUGGUGGAAGAUGGGCAUGCGUCCUAUUAGCUAGUUGGAGUGGUAACGGCACCCCAAGGCUACGAUAGGUAGGGGUCCUGAGAGGGAGAUCCCCCCACUGGUACUGAGACAGGGACCAGACUCCUACGGGAGGCAGCAGUGAGGAAUAUUGGUCAAUGGUCGGAAGACUGAACCAGCCAUGCCGCGUGCAGGAAAGAAUCUCCUUA
rnacentral:rRNA from 1 species